AUUGAACGCUGGCGGCAUGCCUUACGCAUGCAAGUCGAACGGCAGCACGGGAGCAAUCCUGGUGGCGAGUGGCGAACGGGUGAGUAAUAUAUCGGAACGUGCCCAGUCGUGGGGGAUAACGCAGCGAAAGCUGUGCUAAUACCGCAUACGAUCUACGGAUGAAAGCGGGGGAUCGCAAGACCUCGCGCGAUUGGAGCGGCCGAUAUCAGAUUAGCUAGUUGGUGGGGUAAAGGCCCACCAAGGCGACGAUCUGUAGCUGGUCUGAGAGGACGGCCAGCAACACUGGAACGGAGACACGGUCCAGACUCCUACGGGAGGCAGCAGUGGGGAAUUUUGGACAAUGGGCGAAAGCCUGAUCCAGCAAUGCCGCGUGCAGGACGAAGGCCUUCGGGUUGUAAAUUGCUUUUGUACGGAACGAAACGGUCUCUUCUAAUAAAGGGGGCUAAUGACGGUACCGUAAGAAUAAGCACCGGCUAACUACGUGCCAGCCGCCGCCGUAA
rnacentral:rRNA from 1 species